UACGUAGGGUGCAAGCGUUGUCCGGAUUUACUGGGUUUAAAGGGUGCGUAGGCGGGGAAUUAAGUCAGUGGUGAAAGCUGGUAGCUUAACUAUCAAAUUGCCAUGAAACUGAUUUUCUCGAGUGCGGUUGAGGUAGCUGGAAUGUAUCAUGUAGCGGUGAAAUGCUUAGAUAUGAUACAGAACACCGAUUGCGAAGGCAGGCUACUAAACCGUAACUGACGCUGAGGCACGAAAGCGUGGGGAUCAAACAGG
rnacentral:rRNA from 1 species